rnacentral:rRNA from 1 species
GACGAACGCUGGCGGCGUGCUUAACACAUGCAAGUCGAACGGAGAGGCCCUGCUUUUGUGGGGUGCUCGAGUGGCGAACGGGUGAGUAACACGUGAGUAACCUGCCCUUGACUUUGGGAUAACUUCAGGAAACUGGGGCUAAUACCGGAUAGGAGCUCCUGCUGCAUGGUGGGGGUUGGAAAGUUUCGGCGGUUGGGGAUGGACUCGCGGCUUAUCAGCUUGUUGGUGGGGUAGUGGCUUACCAAGGCUUUGACGGGUAGCCGGCCUGAGAGGGUGACCGGCCACAUUGGGACUGAGAUACGGCCCAGACUCCUACGGGAGGCAGCAGUGGGGAAUAUUGCACAAUGGGCGGAAGCCCGAUGCAGCAACGCCGCGUGCGGGAUGACGGCCUUCGGGUUGUAAACCGCUUUCGCCUGUGACGAAGCGUGAGUGACGGUAAUGGGUAAAGAAGCACCGGCUAACUACGUG